rnacentral:rRNA from 1 species
CCUACGGGAGGCAGCAGUGAGGAAUAUUGGGCAAUGGACGAGAGUCUGAACCAGCCAAGUAGCGUGAAGGAUGACUGCCCUAUGGGUUGUAAACUUCUUUUAUAUGGGAAUAAAACGUUCCACGUGUGGGAUUUUGUAUGUACCAUAUGAAUAAGGGUCGGCUAACUCCGUUCCAGCAGCCGCGGUAAUACGGAGGAUCCGAGCGUUAUCCGGAUUUAUUGGGUUUAAAGGGAGCGUAGGUGGAGUGUUAAGUCAGUUGUGAAAGUUUGCGGCUCAACCGUAAAAUUGCAGUUGAAACUGGCAGUCUGGAGUACAGUAGAGGUGGGCGGAAUUCGUGGUGUAGCGGUGAAAUGCUUAGAUAUCACGAAGAACUCCGAUUGCGAAGGCAGUUCACUGGACUGCAACUGACACUGAGGCUCGAAAGUGUGGGUAUCAAACAGGAUUAGAUACCCUUGUAGUC